rnacentral:rRNA from 1 species
GAUGAACGCUAGCGACAGGCCUAACACAUGCAAGUCGAGGGGCAGCGGGGAUGAAGCUUGCUUCAUCUGCCGGCGACCGGCGCACGGGUGAGUAACACGUAUGCAACCUGCCCGCCACAGGGGGAUAAACGCUGGAAACGGCGCCUAAUACCCCAUACUAUCGCUAUGCUGCAUGGCAUGGCGAUGAAAACUCCGGUGGUGGCGGAUGGGCAUGCGGCGCAUUAGCUAGUUGGAGGGGUAACGGCCCACCAAGGCGACGAUGCGUAGGGGUUCUGAGAGGAAGGUCCCCCACACUGGUACUGAGACACGGACCAGACUCCUACGGGAGGCAGCAGUGGGGAAUAUUGCACAAUGGGGGAAACCCUGAUGCAGCGACGCCGCGUGAGUGAAGAAGGUCUUCGGAUCGUAAAGCUCUGUCUUCAGGGACGAUAAUGACGGUACCUGAGGAGGAAGCCACGGCUAACUACGUGCCAGCAGCCG